rnacentral:lncRNA from 1 species
GAGACGCAGACUCGGUCUCAACCUUUAAGUCUUUACUGAAGACUCAUCUCUUCAGUAGGUCAUAUGAUUGAGUGUAGUCUGGCCCAGGAGUGUGAAGGUGAACGGAAAGGCUCUGGAGCAACGAACCGCCCUUGCUGUCUCUGCCUGGCCGGUUCCCCUCUCUCCACUGGGAUUCUCUUCCUCUAACCCUAUUACAGGGGCUGAGUCACUGGCUUACUGGUGCUCUUCCAUGCCGUCCCUAGGAGGAGUGCGUCACUUGAGUGAGUCACUGAUGUGAUUUUCCUGUCCGGGUUGGCAUCCCCCUCGGGUUCAUGCCGUGGGGGAAAUCUUUGUGGGCUAUACUCAGCCUUGUCUCAGGGUAGUAAGUUGGUGGUUGAAGAUAUCCCUCUAGUGAUGUGGGGGCUGUGCUUUGGCAAAGUGGGUGGGGUUAUAUCCUGCCUGUUUGGCCCUGUCUGCGGGUAUCACCGGACGGGGCCACAGUGUCUCCCGACCCCUCCUGUCUCAGCCUCCAGUAUUUAUGCUGCAGUAGUUUAUGUGUCGGGGGGCUAGGGUCAGUCUGUUAUAUCUGGAGUAUUUCUCCUGUCUUAUCCUGUGUCCUGUGUGAAUUUAAGUUUGCUCCCUCUAAUUCUCUCCCUCUCCCUCUCCCUCCCCUCCUGGAGGACCUGAGCCUAGGACCAUGCCUCAGGGAUACCUGGCCUGAUGACUCCUUGCUGUCCCCAGUCCACCUGGUUGUGCUGCUGCUCCAGUUUCAACUGUUCUGCCUGCGGCUAUGGAACCCUGACCUGUUCACCGGACGUGCUAUCUGUCCCAGACCUGCUGUUUUCAACUCUCUAGAGACAGCAGGAGCGGUAGAGAUACUCUGAAUGAUCAGCUAUGAAAAGCCAACUGACAUUUACUGAGGUGCUGACCUGUUGCACCCUCGACAACCACUGUGAUUAUUAUUAUUUGACCAUGCUGGUCAUCUAUGAACAUUUGAACAUCUUGGCCAUGUUCUGUUAUAAUCUCCACUCGGCACAGCCAGAAGAGGACUGGCCACCCCUCAUAGCCUGGUUCCUCUCUAGGUUUCUUCCUAGGUUCUGGCCUUUCUAGGGAGUUUUUCCUAUCCACCGUGCUUCUACACCUGCAUUGCUUGCUGUUUGGGGUUUUAGGCUGGGUUUCUGUACAGCACUUUGAGAUAUCAGCUGAUGUAAGAAGGGCUAUAUAAAUACAUUUGAUUUGAUUGACAUACAAAUGAUAAGACACACACUCUACACACACGUACACAUGUUGGUCUGAGGUAAAACACUAAAUGUAUUGUAGUUAUGUGGUCUGAGGUAACACACUAAAUGUAUUGUAGAUAUGUGGUCUGACGUAAAACACUAAAUGUAUUGUAGAUAUGUGGUCUGACGUAAAACACUAAAUGUAUUGUAGAUAUGAGGUAACACACUAAAUGUAUUGUAGAUAUGUGGUAGUAGUGGUCUGAGGUAACACACUAAAUGUAUUGUAGAUAUGUGGUCUGAGCUAAAACACUAAAUGUAUUGUAGAUAUGUGGUCUGACGUAAAACACUAAAUGUAUUGUAGAUAUGAGGUAACACACUAAAUGUAUUGUAGAUAUGUGGUAGUAGUGGUCUGAGGUAAAACACUAAAUGUAUUGUAGAUAUGAGGUCUGAGGUAACACACUAAAUGUAUUGUAGAUAUGUGAUGGUAGAGGUCUGAGGUAAAACACUAAAUGUAUUGUAGAUAUGUGGUCUGAGGUAACACACUAAAUGUAUUGUAGAUAUGUGGUCUGAGGUAACACACUAAAUGUAUUAUAGAUAUGUGGUAGUAGUGGUCUGAGGUAAAACACUAAAUGUAUUGUAGAUAUGUGGUAGUAGUGGUCUGAGGUAACACACUAAAUGUAUUGUAGAUAUGAGGUCUGAGGUAAAACACUAAAUGUAUUGUAGAUAUGUGGUCUGAGGUAACACACUAAAUGUAUUGUAGAUAUGUGGUAGUAGUGGUCUGAGGUAACACACUAAAUGUAUUGUAGAUAUGUGGUAGUAGUGGUCUGAGGUAAAACACUAAAUGUAUUGUAGAUAUGUGGUAGUAGUGGUCUGAGGUAAAACACUAAAUGUAUUGUAGAUCUGUGGUCUGAGGUAACACACUAAAUGUAUUGUAGAUAUGUGGUCUGUGGUAACACACUAAAUGUAUUGUAGAUAUGUGGUCUGAGGUAACACACUAAAUGUAUUGUAGAUAUGUGGUAGUAGUGGUCUGAGGUAACACACUAAAUGUAUUGUAGAUAUGUGGUAGUAGUGGUCUGAGAUAAUACACUAAAUGUAUUGUAGAUAUGUGGUCUGAGGUAACACACUAAAUGUAUUGUAGAUAUGUGGUAGUAGAGGUCUGAGGUAACACACUAAAUGUAUUGUAAAAAGUGUUAUGAAAUGUAAUGUCAUGUUAUAUUAUUUGAUGUAUAUAACUUCCUUAAUGUUUCUGGUCCCCAGGGUUUCCUUUAUAAAUACAAAUUCUUGUAUUAAUCAAAUCUUCGCUAAUGAUGCAGAGUUUUGCCUAUAAAGCAAUGCCAUUUUCCGUUGGCAGUAGUCACCGUACAUGGUGACAAUAACAAAGAAGAGCCAAAGGUUUGUAACUUAUAAUUCAUAGAUCAUACAAAGUGUUUUCUCAGGACUCUUUUUGAAGAUGUAAAACGUGUAUGUUGAUUUGAUGUGUAUGAGGAAGUGAAUCUAGACGCAGCACUGGAAAAUUCUAAAAUUAUUCUUGACAAUUGUUGACAAGCAUGCACCUGUUAAGAAACUUAACUCAAAUCAAAUUUUAUUGGUCACAUACACAUAUUUAGCAGAUGUUAUUGCGGGUGUAGUGAAAUGCUUGUGUUUCUAGCUCCAACAGUGCAGUAAUAUCUAACAAUUCACAACAAUACACACAAAUCUAAAAGUAAAAUAAUGGAAUAUUUAAAUAUUAGGAUGAGCAAUGUCGGAGUGGUAUUGACUAAAAUACAGUAGAAUAGAAAACAGUAUGUACAUACGAGACGAUUAAAGCAGUAUGUAAACUUUAUUAAAGUACUAGUGUUUGUAACGUCCGUCUGAAGGAGUAGACCGAGGUUUAAUGCUCAUCAUGUAUUUAUUUUGAUCUUAACACUGAAACAAAGAAACCAAUAACGACCAGCCAAACAGUUCUGUCAGGUAUGUAAUACAAAACAGAAAUUAACCACCCACCAAAACACAACGAGAAAACCCCUACAUAAAUAUGGACUCUAAUCAGAGGCAAUGAGAUUCAGCUGCCUCCAAUUAGAGAUCAACCCCAAACAAUUCCAACAUAGAAACAGAAA